GAUGAAGAACGCAGCGAAAUGCGAUACUUGGUGUGAAUUGCAGAAUCCCGUGAACCAUCGAGUCUUUGAACGCAAGUUGCGCCCGAAGCCAUUAGGCCGAGGGCACGCCUGCCUGGGCGUCACACGUCGUUGCCCCCCCAUCUACUCCUUCGGGAUUGCGGGGGGCGGAUGAUGGUCUCCCGUGCGCCUCGUCGCGCGGUUGGCAUAAAUGCCAAGUCCUCGGCGACGCACGCCACGACAAUCGGUGGUUGCGAAACCUCGGUUGCCCGUCGUGUGCGGUCGUCGCGCAUCGAGGGCUCGAAAAAAUUGCCGGGCUCCGGCUCGGCUUUCAACGCGACCCCAGGUCAGGCGGGGUUACCCGCUGAAUUUAAGCAUAUCAAUAAGCGGAGGA
rnacentral:misc_RNA from 1 species